rnacentral:rRNA from 1 species
CCUACGGGAGGCAGCAGUCUAGAAAUUUGGGCAAUGGGCGAAAGCCUGACCCAGUGACGCUGCGUGGGGGAUGAAGGCCUUCGGGUUGUAAACCCCUGUCAGGAGGGAAGAUGUCCCAAAAGACUAAUAAUCUUUUGGGAUGACUGUACCUCCAGAGGAAGCCCCGGCUAACUACGUGCCAGCAGCCGCGGUAAAACGUAGGGGGCAAGCGUUGUCCGGAAUUACUGGGCGUAAAGGGUGUGUAGGCGGAUCCGCAAGUCCACUGUGAAAUUCCUCGGCUCAACCGAGGAACGGCGGUGGAUACUACGGAUCUUGAGGGCAGGAGAGGAGGGUGGAACUCCCGGUGUAGCGGUAAAAUGCGUGGAUAUCGGGAGAAACGCCGAUGGCGAAGGCAGCCCUCUGGAAUGCCCCUGACGCUGAAACACGAAAGCUGGGGGAGCAAACGGGAUUAGAUACCCCUGUAGU